rnacentral:rRNA from 1 species
UACGUAGGGGGCAAGCGUUGUCCGGAGUUAUUGGGCGUAAAGAGCGCGUAGGCGGUCCGAUAAGUCGGCUGUGAAAGUCAGGGGCUCAACCCUUGAAAGCCGGCCGAUACUGUCGGACUAGAGUCCGGAAGAGGCGAGUGGAAUUCCCGGUGUAGCGGUGAAAUGCGCAGAUAUCGGGAGGAACACCAAUGGCGAAGGCAGCUCGCUGGGACGGUACUGACGCUGAGACGCGAAAGCGUGGGGAGCAAACAGG